GAUGAACGCUGGCGGCGUGCCUAAUACAUGCAAGUCGAGCGAACGGACGAGAAGCUUGCUUCUCUGAUGUUAGCGGCGGACGGGUGAGUAACACGUGGAUAACCUACCUAUAAGACUGGGAUAACUUCGGGAAACCGGAGCUAAUACCGGAUAAUAUUUUGAACCGCAUGGUUCAAAAGUGAAAGACGGUCUUGCUGUCACUUAUAGAUGGAUCCGCGCUGCAUUAGCUAGUUGGUAAGGUAACGGCUUACCAAGGCAACGAUGCAUAGCUGACCUGAGAGGGUGAUCGGCCACACUGGAACUGAGACACGGUCCAGACUCCUACGGGAGGCAGCAGUGGGGAAUCUUGCGCAAAGGGCGAAAGCCUGACGGAGCAACGCCGCGUGAGUGAUGAAGGUCUUCGGAUCGUAAAACUCUGUUAUUAGGGAAGAACAUAUGUGUAAGUAACUGUGCACAUCUUGACGGUACCUAAUCAGAAAGCAACGGCUAACUACGUG
rnacentral:rRNA from 1 species